rnacentral:misc_RNA from 1 species
GUCGUUUUCUUCUUUUCUCUCCCGUCCAUAUGCAAUUAGUAUUGAAUUCAAUAUUUCAAUAGGCGCCAAUUAUAGCGGUAUUUUACGCCUCUUCGAGCAGAAAAUUAGAAGCUGCUAAUUUGUUUUUAAUUCGUAUAGUUCUAGUUUCAAUUCAACGAGCAGCGAGUGUGGGUGAAAGUGAAAAUUAUUUGUUUUUAUUAUCUGAUCGAUUUUUGGUAGUUUAAAAACAAUAAAUAUGGAUCAGACAAAUAUGGAUAGGGUUCUUUCAGAAACAUAAUCUUUAUUUAAAAAGUGGGAAUUAUGUGACGAUGUGUGCACUCUAUUAAAAAUGCAUUAAUUCAUCACAUUCCAAAUAUUAAAAAAAUGGAAAUUGAAGAUGAGUUUACGCUCUUCAAUAAAUUUGAAAAUAAGUUCUUCGGUGAAAUGAUAAAAUUCAAGGCAAGGCUCAGAGAAUGGCGAAUAAUUGUGGAAACAUAUAUAUAUACCGCGAAAAUAUGACAAGAAACAAUCCUUCAGGCAAAUUAUUUUCAUGCUAGACAAACGUAACUAAAGCUCACAUCAAAACUUGUUUUAGGAGAGUAGGAGACCAUUUCAUCAAUUUCAUCUGAUGAAUAUUGCAAAAGAAAGUGUUGGCUACAUCACAACUGCAGUCCAUGGGAACAAAUAAUAAUGUAUUGGAAACCGACAUCGCAGGCGAGAGUUACGGAAAUUAGGGAAAUCGCUUCCUUAAAUGGCAUUUUUUGGGAGUGGCCACGGUAUAACGACUACAGUGGAUGUAAUCUCGUACUUACUUUACUUACGAUAUAUGUAUAUUACAAUACAUUUUAUAUUGAGUAUUUCGUUCUCUUCAUUUUAGUUAAACUUUCAAGCUCUGCGAAAUAUAAUUUUCCUUCAUUCAUAUUAGAAAUUGAUUUUGUAAGCUUAUACCCAGGCAAAGUGAACUUUUUAAUCUUAAAAUUGGAAUAUCUCUAUAAGAAAAAUAUUGGAUAUUUUUGAAAAAGAAAUAAAGAAUCGUCCUUCCAGAGAAUUGUACU